GUCCCAGUAGUAUAAAUAU
rnacentral:tRNA from 1 species